GGAGAGGUCGCAUAGUGGCCGAGUGCGCCACCUUGGAAAGGUGGUAUCCGUCUUUGGCGGAUCGAGGGUUCGAAUCCCUCUCUCUCCUCCA
rnacentral:tRNA from 1 species